ACGUAUUAUGUGACCCGUGUCUCGUGGGAGUACAGCAGGCUUCCGGAGCUAACCGAUGUCCAUAUUGCAGGAGUCAUAUUGGCUCCUGCAUUAACAUAUAUUUAUAAGGGGCGAAGGGGGCCAGUGACGGUCUAGCGCCGUCGAGCCGUGGGCUCAAAAGCCUAUGAAUAAUGGAACCCACAUUUGGGCGCCGCGCUGACAAGUCGCAAGCCAUCGCUGAGUCGCUCGUCAAUAUAAGGACUUCCACAUACUUAUUAAUUAUUCUAUUUAAUACUUUUACGACUCAUUGUGAACCAUAUGAUAGUUUAAAUUAUUUUAUAUUUACAGGGACCACUGGCCUGUGACUGCUGAGUGCAGAGCCACCGAGUCAUCGUAAAAUUUAAUCACCUUCUCAUCCACUUGGAGAAGCAAACAGCAGGUUCACGUAAACGACAACUUGAAUUUGCUGGGGCCUGCCAUAACUGACAAAAAGUCUAUGGAGAAGCCACACAGUGACUGUGAUAUGAAGACAACCGACAAGCUGACUUACCUGCUGCCGCAGCAUCACCAACCAGCCUUCGUGCGCGCCUGCAUGGCCUAAGUUACCGCCUCGUGUGCAGCCUUUCCCAGCCGGAUGAAUAGGCAUGCAACCUCCCCGCGCACCAGUCCGAACAGCCCUGCUAACUGCGGCACCGUGCCUUCUGCCCUUCUCCUUCCGUGCGAUCACCAGCAUCCUCUGCAACUCUGCCAGCGUCCGCGAUGUGUCCACUGGCGUCCUAUACCGACGUACUUCAAACGCAGCGUUGUUACUAUUUAUAUUACAUGUUAUAUUACAUGGACCUAUAUAUGGGCCAAUUAGAUCAGUCAAUGAAUGCUCAAA
rnacentral:misc_RNA from 1 species